rnacentral:lncRNA from 1 species
GGAUUCUUAUUCUCGCGCACAUUGUACGCCUUAUGGUGAAGAUGAUAAUUUUUUUUCUAAAAUUAAUGAAGAGAUCACCACGGCAACCCUCAAGUUCGGAUGCUCACGCAGCACAUCCUAUUCAUACCGUCUAAUGUGCACAACCCCCGUGGGAUGAGUAUAAUAAGGGUGCGUUUGAGAGAGAGUAUGAUGCAAUAUCUUUUAAGUUGUAAUUGCUGAGGAGUACAAAUUAUAGUUGUAGAGUAGCACUCGAUGGUGUUUGGUAAAAGUAUUGUAUCUUUUAAGUUGUAAAAACUGAUGGUGUUUAGUAAAUUUUAAUAGUUAUGUAGUGCAUGAAUAUUUGUAAUAAUUAAUUUUAAAUAACGUUAUUUUUAAUUGUUAACAAAUCGCAUUAUUUUUCGUACUUCGAAUUAUUAUAUUGACAUACAAUUACGAUUUAUUACUUCACAAAUUAAAUUAAUAUUUAAUAAAUCAAUUUUAUUUUUUUGCACAAGUUGUAAUAAAUAAUUUUUAUAAUAAAUCAAUUCUAAUUUUAAAUAUUGAUUGAAGAAAUAAAUUAUACCAAAUAUGUCUAAUAAAGAUCAUACAAUAUUUCAUAAUAAAAUUAAAAUGUAAUUAAUUACAAAAUUCGUAUAAAUAUUUAUUUUGUCAUGCCUCCAUUAAACUCGCAGCAAUGUUGUCUCUCAAGAUUAUUGUAUCUUGAGCUGUAUUAUCAAUUGUAUCAUAACUUUAUUUAUGAGAUGUAAUAUUGCUCAUAUGUUCACUAAUAUUAUGACUUGGCUCAUCCAUUGUUUCAUCAAAAUGAUCAUGAUUUUGCGAAUAUCUUCUAAUGUAAUUAUGUAAAGCCAUGGUAACAAUAACUAUCUUCAACCUACUUCUUGAAUGGAUAGCUUGUCAUAUUUCGUAAAAUCUUCCGUCUAUUCUUCCAAGCCCUAAAAGUACACUCAACAACACUCAUCAAGAAAGAAUGCUUAUAGUUGAACAAUUCUUUAUGACCCAUUGGUUAGCUACCUCUACGAAAUUUAGGAAGGUAAUAUAUUUCACUUUUGUAUAGUUCUAAAUACCCAUUUAACUCUAGCACGUAUAAUAAUGUAAUUAAUAAAUAUAAUCAUUAUAAUUAUGAAUUUUUAAUUAAUUAAUUUAAAAUAAUAUUUUUAGUAUUAUAAUGUUUAUUAAAAAUAAUUUAUUUAGGUAAAUAAUAUGUUUAAUAUUAUAUUUCGUUUUUCACAUUAAAUAACAAUAACAAUUUAAUUUAUAUAAUUAUAAAUAUUCUUAAAUUUUCAAAUUUACAUUUUAAAUUAAUUAUUAAAUUGAUAUUCAAAAUAUUUAUUUAAAUUUUGACGUUGAAUUGUUUUUAUUUUAAUAAUAAUAAAAAUAAUAAAAUUUAAUAUUAUAAUAUAAAAUAUUAUUAGUAAAAAUAUUAAAUUAUUUUAUAAUCAAAGAUUUUUUUUAUAUUAAAUGAACUUUCAUUUGUAAUAAUACAAUUAAACUAUGAUUAAAAAUAUUUAUUUAUAGUUAAUUUUAAUAAUGAAAAAUUAUUAUUACAAUCCAAAUUAAUCAUAACUAUUGAAUUAUACCAAACACAAGACAAUUUAAACAUAAUUCAAUCAUAUUUUAAUAAUAAUAAAAAUAAUAAAAUUUAAUAUUAUAAUAUAAAAUAUUAUUAGUAAAAAUAUUAAAUUAUUUUAUAAUCAAAGAUUUUUUUUUAUAUUAAAUGAACUUUCAUUUGUAAUAAUACAAUUAAACUAUGAUUAAAAAUAUGUAUUUAUAGUUAAUUUUAAUAAUGAAAAAUUAUUAUUACAAUCCAAUUUAAUCAUAACUAUUGAAUUAUACCAAACACAAGACAAUUUAAACAUAAUUCAAUAAUAUUUUAAUAAUAAUAAAAAUAAUAAAAUUUAAUAUUAUAAUAUAAAAUAUUAUUAGUAAAAAUAUUAAAUUAUUUUAUAAUCAAAGAUUUUUUUAUUUUAUAUUAAAUGAACUUUCAUUUGUAAUAAUACAAUUAAACUAUGAUUAAAAAUAUGUAUUUAUAGUUAAUUUUAAUAAUGAAAAAUUAUUAUUACAAUCCAAUUUAAUCAUAACUAUUGAAUUAUACCAAAUACAAGACAGUUUAGACAUAAUUCAGUCAUAUUCUAUCUUAUCUCAUCUUAUCCGGUCCUAGCACAUCCUAUCCUGCAUAAUGCACCUUAAAAUUUUAUGAUUGAAAUGUAGAAUUCAACUAAUUUAAAAGCCUAUGAAGUCACUAAGUCAAAAUUUAAUGAAGAUUAGGGUUCGCAGAAAUACAUUUUUUAAAGUUGCUUGAAAAUUAGUAUAGUAGGGAUUCGAGGCUAAAUAAUAAAAAUAUUAAUAAAACCUUGCAUAUUAUCCCACCUUCCAUAAUUUUUAACAAAUUCGUAUUAGUAUAAAGGGUAUUGCAAAAUUCUUCUACAAAUCGGAAUAAGCCAGCAAAUAUAACCUUGAAUAUAAUUCGAUUAUCUAUAUUUUCAAUAAACAAACAUUUUAAAAGAGAUUAUUUUAAGAACAAGCAAUCUAAAAAUUUACCUACUUAUUAUAACUCAGUUUGUAUCGCAACUAACAAAAUUCAUGUUCAAAUAAAAACCCAAAACUCAACACUUACCAAAUAAGCACAAUUCCAUCUCGAAACUCAAAUAAACCCACACCAUAAUUGAAAAUCCAAGAGAUGAAAUGAGGACAUAGGGUAAAAUUGAAAUCUGAGAACUGAAACCGAACAAUCAGUCUAUGGAAAGAGAAGACAAGUAAGUUUUUUUUUUUUUUUUUUCCAAUUCUUUCGUCUUUUUGAUUGAGCUGCAACAUGCAAUCAUUAAGCAUGAAGAGUCUUUGAGCAACAAGAAUAACUAUUGCUCAUUUAUCAUUUUUUUUUAAAACAAAAAUUACUCAUUUGUAAUUGGAAUUUUUUUUUUUUUUUUUGGGGCUAGGCGCUUGCUCAUUUACCCUUUUUUGAGAUUUUUUUUUUUUUUUUGUGAGCAACAAGAACCACUCUGAUAUUGGGGCUUGAAACACAAUGGGUAACGAGGGUUAUUUUAAAAUUAAAAGGAGAGUCAUUAGAUAUGUACAUUAUUAUAAUAUUUUUAAUGGUGAAAAAGGAGGGGCUUUAAGAGGACUUUGUGGGGGUGGGAAUAGUUUCACCGUGUUUGAAACAACAAACAGCCCAAAGUGUUAGGCCACGAUGUCGAAGUAAUAAGUGGCCCAAAAAAUGUCGGCAAUAUUUGGGUCCAAUCUUUUUGUUUCAAUACAGUUUUAACAGUUGCUGCUGUACCCCUAGUCUCCUACAUACCUCUCUUGAUCUUUAUCAGGGGCGGACUUAGGAAUUUGUAUUAUCCCGGGCUAAAUUAUAAAAUUUAUAUUUUAAAGUGAGCAUAAAAAUUUAUAAGUAGAAAAAAUUGCAUCAAAUAAGGGGGGCACGAAAAAUCUUAUCACUAUAAGUUAUAAACAAAAAUAGUUAUAUAAAAAGAGUAGAAAACAAAAGCAAUUAAAAAAAUAAAAUACUAUUUUACAAUUAUGAAAUCUAACUCUAAUAAAAUGUAAUUAUACAAGGAUUAUAUAAGGAUUAAUAUAUUAAUUAAGGAUUUUAAGCUGAAAUAAAUGAAUACAUGUAAUUACAAUCAAUUAAAAAUUGAAGUAAAACUUUAAUGUUUGAAGUCAAGUACUUAAUUACCAGGUUUCAAUAAAUUAAACAAUUCAAAUUUAUUCCUCUUUUUAAAUUAUAAAAAUAUUAUUAGUCAAAAGUUUCAAUUAUAAACUAAAUUCAACCUAACAAAAAUAUAUUUGCGUGUUGUUUUUUCUUUGUCAAACACUCUGACUCUCUUUAAAGAACCAAUUGUUGAUGAUUUUUCUAUCAAAUUAAAGCUCCUCAAAAUAUUCAAAUUUUAUCUUAGUUAAUAUAACUAAUAAAUAAAAUAUCAAAAUUUACAUAAAAAGUUUAUGAAAAUAUUGAUAAUUGUUACUACAUGUUUUUUUUAAGUAGUUUAAUACUAGUGACAAUUUUAUAUUAGAUUGACAUACUUUUUUUCAAUUAGAAUUUUUUUAAAUAAAUUAAAGUAAUAACAUUUUACCCCCUAAUGUUUUUUUAUCUAUAUAAUAAAUAUAUAAUUUACUCAUUUUAUAAAAUAAGUCACUAAUUUCAAUUGGAAAAAAAUACAAUUGAAUUAAGGACAUAUUUAAAAAUAAAAUAAAAACUCUAUUGUAGUAUAAAAUUAAUGAAAAUAUAAGGAUAAUUAUGUUAGGGACAUGUAUGAAAACAAAAUAAAAUCUCUAUUAUUGUCUAUAAUUGAUAGUAAAAUAAGGGGUAUGAAUGAUUUUUUCCUAAGUUUGACCGGGCUACAGCCCGGUCUAGCCUUGCUGCAGGUCCGCCACUGAUCUUUAUUAUCGUCGUAACAAAUUAAAAAAUUCCCACCCUUCAUGAUUGCCGCCGUCUCAAUGAAAAUAAUAUCUCUAAGUAAAUGCAAUGCAGGAUUCUUAUGGAAACGACAAGGUGGGCAAAAAUUCAGGGGAAAAAAAAAUUCCGAAGAGUUUGCUUUUGCCUUCGCACUGCAAGAGGUGUGGGCAUUCUUUUCGUCUUUUAUAUUUUAUAUUCGUCAUACAUCAAAGAAAGGAAAAUUACAUUGUAGGCACCUUAAUAAUACGAAAUCUUAUUAACAUAUAGGUGCGUAUGGUACUUUUAUUUAUUUAUUAUUAUUAUUAUUUUUAUAUAAGGAAGUCUUAUGUACGCCAUGUAAUAAUUUUGACGUAGUACUCUAAUUAGAGGUGAGGAAAAAAUCGAUAUUCAGAAUAACCAAUCGAUUCAGUUUUGGGAAUCCAACCGAAUUUCUUGUUCAAUUAAAGAUUCAGCGGCUGAACUGAAUAAUUGAACCGAAAAAACCGAAACAAUUGAGUAUUAAUUAAGAAUUUUGAAUGUGUCGCAUUUUGAUUAAUGUGCUUAUAGUAUUAUCGUACACUUGCACAGAUAAAAAUAAAAGAAGUUACAAUAAUUGUAACAUACAUUCCUCGUGUGAACCACACAAAAUUAUAGGACCCAUAAUUUAUGUGGUUCACAUAAAGAAUGUAUGUUACAAUUAUUGUAACUUAGCAUUUGCCAAAAUAAAAUUGAAUAUGAUAAACUACACUUAGGUCAUGUUUGGUUGGGAGGAAAAAAUAUAGGAGAGAAAAGUAAUUUAAAUUCUCUUUUUAUUUUCAUUGUUUGGUUUAACAAAAUGUAUAAGAAUUUAAUUUCCAUUAGAAUUUAAUAUAUAUCAUAAUGUAGAAUUUGAAUUCCACACUAAAUAGUGAAGAAUUUAAAUUCCUCUUAUAUUAGAAACUAAAGUUUUCAAAAUUACCCUUCAUCUUUUUAACUUAUUUAAUGACAUUAAUAAUUAUUAUUUAUAAUUAUUAUUUUAUUAAAUUAAUAUUAUAAAUGGACCACCGUCGGAAAGUCGCCGGACCACCACCGGCGAGGUUGCCGGAUCACCAUCGGAUUUCGCCGAAAUAUUGCCGGACCACUGUCGGACUUCCCCGGAAAAUUGCCAAACCUCUGCCGGACUUCUGCCGCCGGCCAUCGGACCGCCAUUUUAUUAUAUAUAUAUAUAUAUAUAUUAUUACUAAUAUAAAUAAUUUAAUAUUUAAAGUAAAUGAUAAAUUUGCCUAAAAAAAAUUAUAAUUCAUUUUCUUAUCAAAUUUUAUAUCAAACUAAACAACAAAAUUUAAUUUCACUACUAUUCUUCAUUCAUUUCUUCUCCCUUCUUCUCCAUUCCACUCUUUUCCUCUCAUCUAUUUUCUUCAAACCAAACAUGACCUUAAUUUAUUUAGAACAACUCUCUAUAAUUGAUGUAACAUAGAUUAAUGUGUUUAAUAUAAUUCAAUCUUAUUCUCAAUUCUCCCCAGGUUAUCAAAAGAAUUCUCCCCCAGAUUCAAUAUUUCACAAAUCCUAAGAUUACAAACCGCCGCUGUACUGCGACCCGUGCAUGAUUGGCAACCGUUCGACGCCUGCAGCCUACUUGCUUCUUUCCCAGGUGUUGUAAAUUCCAAUUCAGCUGAAAAGAUCAAUUUAGAUGCCCGACGCUAUCAACAGCAGCAACCGCUUUGCCGCACGACGCCAGCUGCUACAGCAACUCUUUGUCGCAAGUGGCCUGUACCUGGCAGUGUUAUUGUUGGUUGAAUGUUGAUAGGUGAUAGGCCUUCUUUUGUUGUUGUUUAUCUUCGUGCUUUAUUUAGAAAGCAGGAUUGUUGUUGUUUUUGUUGUAAUUUGUCUUGCUUUUUUUUGUUUUUUUUUUUCCAAAUAAAACCCAGGCUGAUUGUUGUUGCUAAGAGCCUUAUGCUUCGUCCCCCUCUCUCCCCCCCCCCCCCCCCCCCGAUUGAAAGGAGCCUUGCGCUUUUCUUAUUGUUUACAAAUUUAAUAAAAAAAAUUAAAUGUGGAGUUCUAACGGGGAAGAGGAAGGUGUGGACUGUAGAGAACCGAAAUCGAACCGAUUCGAUUCUGUUUAAUUUUCAAUCCGAAUAGCACUGAAUCCACUCCGAACUCAAGUCCAACCCAUUGUGGAUAUGUGGUGCUAGGCUAGGCUGUCACAAUCACAAAGAUAUCCUGGUAUAAUAAAGGGGAUUGAAUAUCUUUAUUUUGAUAAUAAAGGGAAUUGAAAGUGAAAGGAUUUUUGGUAAACUAAAAAAUAAGACUAUUAUAAAAAAUUUGCUGAAAAAUUAACAGAAUAUCUACUUGAAGCUGUGAAGGAAUAAAAGAAUUGAAGUCGAGAGUAAUAUGAAUGGGGAUAUAAUGUGUUGGAGAAAAAUCAGUUUUUUAAAUUUUUUUAUAAAAACUUUUAGGAUCGCUCUCAUACAAUAUAUAAGAAUUUAUAAUAUAGAAAUCGUACCUUAAAAAUUCGAAUUGGUUUUUUCCACUGAAGUGAUUUAGGCUCCCAGUUCACGAUCCGUCACCACCACUUCUGUUAGAUCACGAUUUGUCACCACCACUCAUGUUAGAUCACGAUCCGCCACCAAAUAAUCUUCCAGGCUAUGAUUUAAGUUUGAUCUGUACUUGACGUGUGAGCGCCUUUAUCACCACUAAAGCAACUAGCACGAAAUUUUUUUUUCUCUCAACAAUUGAGAGAAAAAUCUUUUUCUCUUAUCUGUAUAAAGUGGCUCUGCUUUUUUUCUUUAAAGAAAAUACGUUUUUAUAUCUCCUUUUAGUGAAAACCGUAGGCUCCAAAUGAUAAAAAAUAAAAGUCACGUUACUUGUUUUUUCCAUAGGGGGCCCAUAUUGUAAAAUAACAUAAAGUCCCUUACACAUAAGCAUAUUAAAUGGAGUCUCCCACUAAAUGAUAUAUUUAAGUUUUUGACCCAAAUAGCUAGUUAUCUUGCUUAUUAAUCCAGCAGUAGUGCAGUCAAUUAAAUGAGCUAACCCGGGAAUCAUUUGGGAACAUACAAUAGUGGCUAUAAUAAUUAGGCCGGUAAUUAAACUAGCCCAAUUAUUUAAUUCCAAAUCUACUCUACUAAAAGAUUGGAACUGACUUCCAUAAUUGUAUGCUCGAAUAAUAAUUCGUCCCAAGCCAUAUUGAUUUCUUUACUGUAUAAUCCUUUGAACCACAUCGUUAAUUAAAUCGAUAUCUCAACUGUCCAAUCGAUUUAAUUACAUCUUAUUCCUUGAUACUUACUGAUUUUUUCUAAUAAUCAUUUUCAACAUAAUAAAUAUGUUGACACACUCUGGCCAGAGAAUUCUAUGAUCAAGUGCCGAAAACCCAUCAAGAGAUGUGUUGUACAAAUUCUAUAUUGUUAAUCUAUAACUCCAAUAUUCAUAAUUGCUCCCACCAAGAUACCGGGUAAUCUUGACUACAAUUGUGUGUCGUGCCAAUUGGUAAAUCAAAUGGAAUAAUAAUUACAAUCAUGAAAUCAUAACUAACUCAAGAUUAAGAUUACAGUAAAAUCAAUGUCUAUGAGAUUUAAUAAGUCUGACAGUCAUUUCAAGGUUAAGUAAAUCUCAUAUGUGAUCCAGCUCAAUGUAGUCAAACUACAUUAGUAAAUUCAUUAAAUGAUUAAGACAACUCAUUUAAUGAAUUUACUACAGUCUAAACAUAAAUAGAGUGCCCAACUCUAUUUAUCAACUGCGAACUAAUAUUAAUUUAAUCAUAAGAUAACUUGUAUUUAUGUCUUCUGUGAAUGCAUAUGAUGAUCACAUAAAUACAUAUAAUAUGAUUAAACAGACCUUAUUCAAAAUAUUUAUGCAAUUGAAAAUAUCUCCAAUAUUUUAUUAAUCAGAAAAUAAAUUAAUAUGCUUUAAAAGAGCAUAUAAUCCCAACAUAAUGAUGGCAAUCACAGAAGAUCGAGAAUAACUAUAUAAACGAUUAAGGAAAAAAAGAUCGAGUUACUACUUGUUCGGUAUGACUUAUCUAAUGGUCAUAAGUGCUUAUUUAAUUCCAUAAGCACUUUUUUAAAAAAAAAAUUUGGUGUUUGUUUAUUUUGUGAGUAGUGUUUUUUAAACUUAAAUAAGUUAAUUUAUCUAUACUAGUAAAAAUUUAAAAUUUGAGUUUUUGUGAGUAGAAGUAGAGAGAUUUUCUCAAGAAAUAUGUCAUAUAAAAAAUACCCUUAAAAUAUUUCAUUAAUUACAUAUUACCCUAUUAUAUAUAAAAAUUACAUAAUAAAAAUUAAAGUGCCAGCUAUUUUAUUGAUCAUUAUGUUUAUUGACAGGUACACUCCCCACCAAAAGUAUUGGCUGUGACGAUUAGUUUUCUCUCAAGUGUUAGGUAUGUACAGGGUUUUGCAUAAUUAAAGUGUCGGCUAUUUUAUUAAAAAAAGAAAAGAAAAAAGUGAAGUGGUGGCAAUAUGUUUAUACGGCGGCAACAAUAUUUAUUCUAUAGGUUUUGUAUGUAAUGGGGUCUUAUGUAAUUAAUAAAAUAUUUUAAGGGUAUUUUUGAUAUGACAUAUUUUUUGGGGAAAAAGCUCUUUAACCUCUACUCCCAAAAACUCAAAUUUUGAGUUUUACUAGCAAAGAUAAAUUAAUUAAUUUAAGCUUAAAAAACUCUAUUCACAAAAUAAAUAAACACUAAAAAAAAUUUUAAAAAGUAUUUAUGAAAUUAAAUAAGCAGACUAAUAAAUCAAAUAAGUACUUAAUUAAUAGAUAAUUUUACUAGAGUAAAAAUAACAUAACUCGACAUUAAAGUCAGUCCACCAUAUGAUAUGGGAUAAGCCAAGAGGAUUAAGGGUGCGUUUGGGAUUGAGGUUGGGCAGCUGUAGCUUAAAAGCUACAGCACUAAAGUGUUUGGUAAACACUAGCUGCUGUAGCUUUUAAGCUAUGUUGAUAUAAUUUUUCACUUGUAUAAUAUAAAAUUUAUUAUAUCUUUAAUAAUUUUGAUAAAAUUAUUAUUUAAAAUUUAUAUUGACUAUAUAUUAUUAACUUUUAUUUCAUAAUUACAGCUUUUUUUCACAGCAGCUAUAGCUUAAAAGCUACAGCACCUCAAUCCCAAACGCACCCUAAGNNNNNNNNNNNNNNNNNNNNNNNNNNNNNNNNNNNNNNNNNNNNNNNNNNNNNNNNNNNNNNNNNNNNNNNNNNNNNNNNNNNNNNNNNNNNNNNNNNNNGGUAAACUAAAAAUGAGUUUAUUAUAAAUAUUUUGUAAAAAAUUAACAGAAUAUCUACUUGAAGCUGUGAAGGAAUAAAAGAAUUGAAGUCGAGAGUAAUAUGAACGGGGAUAUAAUGAUGGCAAUCACCGAAAGAUCGAGAAUGACUAUAUAAACGAUUAAGGGAAAAAGAUUGAGUUAGGGCGAGUCAAUAAUAACAGGAGAAGAAGAAACGGCAUUGAGUUUUAAUUAAUAGGUAAUUUUAUUAGAGCAAAAAUAACAAUAAAAAUAAUAAAAUGGUAACGGUUUUUUAAAACCUGACAUUAAAGUCAAUUCCCCGUGUGAUAGGGGAUAAGCCAUGAGGAUUAAGUGGUCGAGAAUAAGUCUGUCUCCUACAACUAGCCCCACGCCCAGAAGACUUGUAAGUUGACUUUCACUAGACCUAAAGAAAUAUUUCCAAAAUAAUGCAAGCUUAAAUAAAGUACUGGACUUCAUCUUUCGAGUCAUAACGGAGAGAUCACUUGAAUCUUUGUGAGCCUACAUACAAUUGAGAAAUUAAAAAAAAAAAAAUUCGAAGGAUUGUAACUUCUUUUGUGACCAGUCUGGUGAAUUUAAACAAAUGGAGAGGAGGGUCUAUGAAGCAGCGGUUGAGGGCAGUGUAGAAUCUUUGCUUAAAUUGCUUCAAGAGGAUGCUCUGCUUCUCGAUAGAUCAAUGGUGAGUUGUUACUCUGAGACCCCUUUGCACAUAGCUUCAAUGCUUGGACAUGAAAACUUUGUCCUGGAAAUUUUAAGUCGAAAGCCUGAGUUAGCUGGAGAGCUCGAUUCCAGAAGAUCAUCAGCACUUCACUUGGCAAGUGCAAAAGGGUACCUUGUUAUAGUGAAAAAAUUGGUUUCUGUUAAUCCUGAAAUGUGCUAUGUUCGCGAUCGAGAUGGGAAAAAUCCUCUACAUGUUGCAGCCAUCAAGGGCCAUGAUAAAGUCUUGGAAGAGUUGUUUCAAAAGAGACCCGAGGCCUGUCGAGUCUUGAUGGACAGAGGUGAGACAAUUUUACAUGCUUGUGUGAAUUAUAACCAGUUGGAGUGCCUGAAGUUGCUGGUGGAGAAACUGAAUGAUCAUGAGUUUGUGAAUUCGAAGGACGACGAUGGCAACACUAUCUUGCAUCUCGCCGUCAUCGAUAAACAAGUAGAGGUGUGUGUAUAUAUACUCUAGCUAAUAACUAAUAAUAUAUCUCCUUUCCAUUAAUUAGUUGAUUAAUUCUACUCUUUCUUUCCCUUUGUAUUUAAAUUAUAUAACGUAAAACUUGGAAACGUGCAGGCUGUAAAGUUCUUGACUGGCAGUACUACGAUAGAAGUAAAUGCUGUUAAUGCAAAUGGCUUCACAGCUUUGGAUAUUUUAGCACAAAGAAAAUUAGACAUGAAUUCGACGAUUGGAGAGCUGCUUCGAUGCGCUGGAGCAAGAAGUCUGAAAGAACACGUGAACCUGCUUCAGGCACCACAAAGACACGGACAGGAUCGAUCAUAACAUCCCAUUCUGGUGACCCUAGUAAUCAAGGGCGUGAACGUCCAGAAAAGGCUAGAAAAAAGCAAGAAGAUAAAUGGUCGGAAAAAAAGCGUAAUACAUUAAUGGUGGUAGCAUCACUCAUCGCUACCAUGGCAUUUCAAGCUGGUCUGAACCCUCCUGGGGGUGUAUGGCAAGAUGAUUCCCCAAAAAACGACGCUUCACGACAUCAGGCAGGGUGUUCGGUAAUGUUAACUCAAGAUGAGAUUAGUUACAAUCUUUUCUUUGGUUUUAACACCACAGGCUUUGUGGCGUCUCUUAGCAUCAUAUUAUUGUUCAUAAGCGGCAUCCCGUUUUUUAAGCGUAGGUUUUUCAUGUGGAUUUUAACCGUGAUAAUGUGGGUUGCAAUUAGUGCAAUGGCUCUAGCUUAUCUGAUCGCCAUACUUGGUAUUACGAAUUCGGGUAACAGCAUGAUACCCUGGUAUGCUUCAACAUAUGUGCUACUUGGAUGGAUUGGGUUCAUUGGGAUUCUUAUUCUCGCGCACAUUGUACGCCUUAUAGUGAAGAUGAUAAAAUAUUUUCGAAAAUUAAUGAGAGAUCACCACGGCGAGCCUCAAGUUCGGAUGCUCAGGUAGCACGUCCUAUUAAUACCGUCUAAUGUGUACAACCCCCCGUGGGAUGAAUAUAAUAAAUGUACAUGUAGUGACUGAAUACCAUGAGUUGUGCUAAAAAUUAUGUGACCCUGAGUUUG